AUCAACUUUCGAUGGUAGGAUAGAGGCCUACCAUGGUGGUAACGGGUAACGGGGUGUUAGGGCACGACACCGGAGAGGGAGCCUGAGAAACGGCUACCACAUCCAAGGAUGGCAGCAGGCGCGCAAAUUACCCAAUCCCGACACGGGGAGGUAGUGACAAUAAAUAACAAUACGGGGUUCUUUCGGAUUUCGUAAUUGGAAUGAGUACAAUUUAAAUCUCUUAACGAGGAACAAUUGGAGGGCAAGUCUGGUGCCAGCAGCCGCGGUAAUUCCAGCUCCAAUAGCGUAUAUUAAAGUUGCUGCAGUUAAAAAGCUCGUAGUUGAAUUUCGGGACCGAUAUAUCGGUCGUGCCUCGGUACGUACUGGUAUUUUCGGUUUCUCCCUUCUGACGAACCUUGAUGUCAUUAAUUUGGUGUCUUGGGGAAUCAGGACUGUUACUUUGAAAAAAUUAGAGUGUUUAAAGCAGGCUCACGCUUGAAUACAUUAGCAUGGAAUAAUGAAAUAGGACGUUUGAUUCUAUUUUGUUGGUUUCUAGGAUCGACGUAAUGAUUAAUAGGGAUAGUUGGGGGCAUUAGUAUUCAAUUGUCAGAGGUGAAAUUCUUGGAUUUAUUGAAGACUAACUACUGCGAAAGCAUUUGCCAAGGAUGUUUUCAUUAAUCAAGAACGAAAGUUAGGGGAUCGAAGACGAUCAGAUACCGUCGUAGUCUUAACCAUAAACUAUGCCGACUAGGGAUCGGAUGAUGUUAAUUUUUUAAUGACUCAUUCGGCGCCUUACGGGAAACCAAAGUGUUUGGGUUC
rnacentral:rRNA from 1 species